CCAAUAAGAAGUUUGGGCUUGGCCCACAAUGUUGAUCGGCUUCGCUAGAAUGGGAUGAGGUUCGAUGAGGCAGCUGCAGCAACACCGGAUAACGAUGAAACGGCAUUGAAGGAGCACGACGACCAAAGUUACCAAACCGUUUUGAAGAAACUAUAAUCGGGAAGCCAAUGCCAUAACCAUACUAUCUGUAAUGGCAACGACGACGCUGUUCACCCUCCAUCUCUGUCGUUUUGGCCAAAGCUUCUCCAAAAAACUAUUCUCUACGUCCCCUUCUUCUGACACUCUUCUGAACCCUCACCACGUCACGUUCCACCACAAAUUACGCCGCCCAAACUCCUCCUCUGUCCCCGCUUUCUUCCGGCGCUUCUCAGCUGUCGCAGCUGCUUCCACUUCCGGAGAGGCGAAUUACGAUGGAAUUGGAACAGCUGAUGAAAAAUAUGAUGUGAUUGUGGUUGGAGGAGGGCACGCAGGUUGUGAAGCCGCACUUGCCUCUGCGCGUUUGGGUGCAAGAACUCUUCUUCUUACUCUCAACAUUGACCGUAUUGCCUGGCAGCCUUGCAAUCCAGCUGUUGGUGGACCUGCGAAGUCUCAAUUGGUUCACGAAGUGGAUGCGCUAGGUGGUGAAAUAGGGAAGAUUGCUGACAGAUGUUACUUGCAGAAGCGGGUGCUUAAUGUAUCCAGAGGACCUGCAGUUCGUGCAUUACGUGCUCAAACUGAUAAAAGGGAAUAUGCCAUGCAAAUGAAAAGUGUAGUAGAAAGCACACCAAACCUUUCAAUCAGAGAGGCUAUGGUCACAGAUAUAUUACUUGGGAAAAAUGAUAAUGUGGAAGGUGUUUGUACAUUUUUUGGGAUGAAAUUCUAUGCUCCAUCUGUUGUUCUCACAACAGGAACUUUUAUGAGUGGCAAAAUCUGGGUUGGUAGAACUUCCAUGCCUGCAGGAAGAGCUGGCGAGUCUGCUUCUCAUGGAUUAACUGAGAACUUACAGCGUCUUGGUUUUGAAACUGAUCGGCUGAAAACCGGAACCCCUGCCCGAGUGGACAUUCGUACUGUAGAUUUCUCAGGUUUAGAGCCUCAGCAUGGAGACAAAGAGGUCAGCUGGUUUAGUUUUGAUCCUGAUGUCCAUAUUGAAAGAGAACAGAUGUGCUGCUACCUAACCCGUACUACAGGUAGAACUCACCAGAUAAUAAGAGAUAACUUACAUGAAACACCAACUUAUGGAGGAUGGGUUGAAGCUAAAGGACCAAGAUAUUGUCCUUCCAUUGAAGAUAAGAUUGUAAGGUUCCAAGAUAAAGAGUCUCAUCAAAUAUUUCUUGAACCAGAGGGUCGCAGUGUGCCUGAGCUCUAUGUGCAGGGGUUCUCAACAGGUUUGCCAGAGAGAUUACAACUACCUUUGCUCAGAACUUUGCCUGGACUUGAGAACUGUUCAAUGUUGAGGCCUGCAUAUGCUGUAGAGUAUGAUUAUUUACCUGCUCAUCAAUGUGCUAGGUCUCUUAUGACAAAGAAAAUACAAGGAUUAUUCUUCUCUGGUCAGAUAAAUGGAACUACUGGCUAUGAGGAAGCUGCAGCACAGGGCAUAAUUUCUGGCAUCAAUGCGGCUAGAUAUGCUGAUGGUAAGCAACUCAUUGUCCUUGAAAGAGAGAGCAGCUAUAUAGGAACAUUAAUUGAUGACCUAGUUACCAAGGAUCUGCGAGAACCUUAUCGCAUGUUAACAAGCCGCUCAGAGCAUCGGUUACUCUUGAGAUCUGAUAAUGCUGAUAGCCGUCUCACCCCCUUGGCUCAUGAAAUUGGGUUGAUAGAUGAUAGACGGUGGAAACUGUACCAGGAGAAACAGGCUCGAAUUUCUGAGGAAAAGAAGCGAUUGAGAAGUGUCAGAAUUUCAGGGGGAGACUUGGCUGCUGAAGUUUCUCGAGUCUCCGGUCAGCCAGUGAGGGACUCUUCAACAUUGGAAAGUCUUCUUAAGAAACCACACAUGCAAUAUGGAAUUCUUGAUGAGCAUGGCUUUGGUAACAUAGAGUUAUCUAGAAUAGAGAAAGAAUGUGUUGAGAUCGAUAUUAAGUACGAAGGUUUCAUCUUGCGUCAGCAAAGCCAGCUUCAACAGAUGGUUACUCAACAGCAUAGACAACUUCCCGAAGACUUGGAUUACCAUAUGAUUACAACGUUAUCUAUUGAAGCACGGGAAAAGCUUUCCAAGGUUUGUGGCACAUAUAUUUGGACAAUAUAGCAGUUUGGAUAGAACAGAGCAGACUGAAAUGCAUCUUUGAAUCCACAAGUGCAAUCCACAAAUUUUUCAUAAUUAAACCAGAUAUUCAUGGGAUUAUCCGAAACCAGAAACAAACAAUCCAUAAAGUUAGGCCGCAAACCAUUGGUCAGGCAAGCAGAGUUGGUGGAGUGAGCCCUGCUGACAUUACUGCUCUACUAAUUGUGCUUGAAGCUAAUCGGAGGAAAGCUCAGGAACAAAGCAGGUACAAAAUAAUGAAUGCUAUGCGAGCAAAAGCCCUGGAGGAGGAGGUGCCUGAAGUUUCUUGCACCGAAACAGUCAGCUCUUGAUAAGUUACCUACCAUUCUAUCGAUUUUGAAAUCCUAGAUGAAUACACAAGGAAAGGAGAAAAAGUAAAAAGAAAUUUAUUGUUAUAAAUAUAUUUUUGUUGCCCAUUUGACAAUUUCUCUCCCCCAGUUGAUGUAAAAUUAAAAAUUGUAAGUGCAGAAAUAAAGUUAUUUAUCGUGGGCAUAAAUCUGUUAAUAAAAUAUGAUCUAAAGUAGCCAUAAAUUGUGGUAA